rnacentral:rRNA from 1 species
ACGUGCUGGUGAAGCGUUAGGACUGGAACUUUGGGCCGGUUUCCUGCCCAUCGUUUCGGGAAUUUCGUUGAACCCUCCCGUUUAGAGGAAGGAGAAGUCGUAACAAGGUCUCCGUAGGUGAACCUGCGGAGGGAUCAUUG